UGGCUGGUCCUUUCAGUCUUUUACUAGAGAGUCGAGGAGAAUACAAGUGAAAAGGCAGAACACAUGAGAGUAGUUAGUGAGGAAAGGAAUCCAGGAAGUUUAAUUUAAACAUAUAGUCCACACAACACAACAAACAAGCACUACUACAUCACAGUUUAAUGUCCUCCAGUUAGAGUAUUUUUAUGAUACAAAAAGCCUCGUCA